GCUUUCGAGUCGUAAAGCUCUGUUCUUGGGGACGAAGAAGUGACGGUACCCAAGGAGAAAGCCCCGGCUAACUACGUGCCAGCAGCCGCGGUAACACGUAGGGGGCUAGCGUUGUCCGGAAUUACUGGGCGUAAAGGGCGUGUAGGCGGCCAUGUAAGUCAGGUGUGAAAGGCCACGGCUUAACUGUGGUAUUGCACUUGAAACUAUAUGGCUUGAGUACAGGAGAGGGAAACGGAAUUCCUGGUGUAGCGGUGAAAUGCGUAGAUAUCAGGAGGAACACCAGUGGCGAAGGCGGUUUCCUGGACUGUAACUGACGCUGAGGCGCGAAAGCGUGGGUAGCGAACAGGAUUAGAUACCCUGGUAGUCCACGCUGUAAACGAUGGAUACUAGGUGUGGGUAGUUCAGACUAUCCGUGCCGCAGCUAACGCAUUAAGUAUCCCGCCUGGGGAG
rnacentral:rRNA from 1 species